rnacentral:rRNA from 1 species
UAAGGAAUAUUGGUCAAUGGAGGCAACUCUGAACCAGCCAUGCCGCGUGCAGGAAGACGGCCCUCUGGGUUGUAAACUGCUUUUAUUCGGGAAUAAACUUGCUUACGUGAAAGUAGCUGACGGUACCGAAGGAAUAAGGACCGGCUAACUCCGUGCCAGCAGCCGCGGUAAUACGGAGGAUGCAAGCGUUAUCCGGAUUUAUUGGGUUUAAAGGGUGCGUAGGCGGCUUAUUAAGUCAGGGGUGAAAGAUGGUGGCUCAACCAGCGCAGUGCCCUUGAUACUGAUGAGCUUGAAUGGACUAGAGGUAGGCGGAAUGUGACAAGUAGCGGUGAAAUGCAUAGAUAUGUCACAGAACACCGAUUGCGAAGGCAGCUUACUAUGGUUUAAUUGACGCUGAGGCACGAAAGCGUGGGGAUCAAACA